AUUACAGUUAUGAAGAAGCAACGGAAGUAACAUUAUGGUAUGGUGGUGACCACCACCUCAUGAGGAACUGUAUUCAAGAGCUGCAGCAUUUGGAAGGUCGAGAACCACUGAUCUAGAGCAUUAUCAGCAAUUUGGACUCAUUUGGGCCAUUAGCUCUUCUUCCUGCCCACCACAGACUCUGAAACCAGCCAGGCUGAAGGAGUGGCAUGCUCCUGGCAGUGGAAGCAGGCCUGUAAUUGGCUCACUAUUGGAUUGGAUUUGGCACAAAAUGACUUCCAGGCUUUCUGCUUCCUGACAGGAAAAUCCAGAAAUUACAAACCAUUUACGAGUUGAAAACUGGAAGAAGAGGAGAAAAAUCCCUUGAAGUCUCCAAUAUAAAAUGAAAGUGCUCUAGUGAAAUGUUGCCAAUGCCGUCUGGAGAAAAGGGGUUUGGAAAACUGCCACAGAGCAGGUUUUGAAAACUGGAGCUGCAAUGCCUCCUCCAGGAGAAAGAGGACACUUGCAGGCUGAAAAUCCACUCCCUGACAAAAGAAGCUCUGGAAGAACAAAGUAGGUGGUGCCUGAGCCGAAGGUCCUCUGGGAUGCUUAGGAGCCUCUGGGUUUUGCCUGUAUUAAUAUAUGUGAACCAUAUUCAUGCCUGAAGAAGAGGGCAGAAGAGGAUUGAUUAUCUGUGAACCUGGACUUACAGAACAUUGAAAGCUGUCAUGUGGGUACUAGUUACUGAACCAAGGUCCUAGGCAAGAGGAGCAAGUGCUCUUAACCACUGAGCCAGCUCCCCAACCCCUAGUUUGCAUGUUUAAAAUGAAAUGAUAUGUGUAGUGAAGGAUGG
rnacentral:lncRNA from 1 species